AGUCAAAGGAGGAAGGUGGCUAUUUGCAAUAAACCAUUCCCAGAACACAAAAGCCAUGAAGAUUUCUUUAACCGUCACUGUCUUCCAGGAUCACAGGGCUUAGGUGAAACAGCAUGGUGAGACCUAAGAGAUUGAUAAAAAUGAGAAAGAAUAAUAAUACACAGUACUGACAGGACCCAACCAGAGACCAUCAGAAGGUGAAAGAAGACAUUUUCUUCUCCUACAAAGUCAUUUCUGGUGCUUAAUUUUUUAUGAGCCACUGAAUUGAAGAGAAGAAACUAGUCCUUGUCAUCAAAUAGCUCACAGAAAAGAUACAGACAUGUUUAUUGGAAUCCUAGUUCUGCCAUGUAUUCACUGUGAAUAUGGUUCCUGCCCAAGUUGUCCCUCUGAAGUCAUGGAGACCAUAGUACAAAACUGAUUCCCCUCCCAGAGCCAAUUCUCAGGUGACUUGCUACAAUCUUUCACUGUAACAACACUGAAGGAUGUUGAAGGUCAUGCUCGUCAAAAGCAGGAUGCAGGGGAUAGAUUUAUUCUCGGUACGGCCCUGCUGUCUGUUACAUUCUGAUCCUUCUAGACCUUCCUGAACCCAGUCCUUCGAUGGCAUCCAACCUUUCCCUCACCCAUGCUUUCAGAUAUACCUUGGUGGAAUUUUGCUGGAAUUUCAAGAAUUAUGUUACGCAAAACUGUGCUUAAUUACAUGGAAAGAACUGAUCUUCAGAUAGCAUGUACCAAUUCAGCCUUACAAUUAUGAAAAUGUUGAAAUGCUUAAAUACUAUUUGCAAAGUUCCUAUUUCCUUUAGCCGCUUUUCCCCUACCUCCCAAUCACCUCAAAAUCCAACGACUAAAAACCAAUACAAGGCAAAGGAAGGCAUCUCCAGGGCUUGCUCUUCCUCUCAUAGUACCAUCCUUUCUGAUUGGUUAUGCUGACAUAUUGCUAUACUGGUUUUUUAGUGUUUUAAAAUAUCAACUUUGAAUAUUGACCCAGAAAUCAAAUGAUCACAAUUAGAAGAGCACUUCAUAUCUCGUACAUUUAAUUUUAAUCAUGAAAGCUUAAAUAAGGGAAUAUAAGAUGGAUUCAGAAUUGAUAGUGAUUGCUUAAUUACAAUAUAUUUUUUAAAAAGAAUGAUAUGUUUCAUAAUAUAUGAUAAGAUGGUGAAAGCAUUCUUCAAAAUAUUCAUGAAAAGCAUAAAGGAAUGGAGCUCCAGUCUUCAGAGUCCUCCUUCCCUCUAGUCUGAUUGGAAAGCUUUUCCCAUCAGAUAUAUCAGUAGGUCUGGGACAGUCCUCCCUUGGUGUAUUGCAAACACAAAACAACUUCACUAUUUUAUGUGCUAGUGGAUGCAAGCUGGCUUUAUUCACUCACCCUUCCCAAUCACAAAUAAUAUCCGAAGAUGGCAUAGACUUCUACCCAAUUUCCAAAACAAAAUCCCAAAUAAAAGCUGAUUUCAAUCCUGAUUAAAACUUUAGAAUCACAUCUAGUUUAGCACUUUUAUCCUUCCUGCCACAGGCAGUGGUAUCCAGACUUAGACCCUAGAUCCUUAAAGUGGGAAGGAUGUAAGUUUGACUUUACACUUUUCCUUUAACUCUCCUUUCUGCUUGAGACUUCUUUCACCUUCCAGGGUAUAAUAAAGUAAAUGAGAUUAUUGACAAUGAGUCAACAGUAUUGCUCAUGCCUGGCUGUAUCCUAAUCCUGGUAGACAGCAUUCCAAAUUCGGCAGGUGCCCACAUAUAGCUGCUUUGAUGAGGCACAUCUGUGACUCCUUCUGGGUGAACCCACUCAUCGUCCAAUUCUCUGGUGUGAGUGAAAUAUUCUAGCUGACCUCUCCAAUUCCAGAGCAGGGAUGCUGAAGACCCCCGAUAUGUAUUCAUCAGACAGCUAUGACUUAAAAGAAAGUUCACUACACAGAAGUCAUGACCACCAAGAGAAG